UCUGCCCCUUGAGGCAUGGCAGGUGUGGCUGCUGUGUCACAUGUGCGUCAGUAGGUGGCAGAGAGGAGAGAGGCUAUGCCUGCACUCAGUGUUCUGACCUGUCAACAUCUGAUUAGUAACCUAACAUC
ensembl:snoRNA Gm23949 small nucleolar RNA SNORA17